UAGGGAAUAUUGCACAAUGGGCGAAAGCCUGAUGCAGCAACGCCGCGUGUGCGAUGAAGGCCUUCGGGUCGUAAAGCACUUUUCUGGGAGAUGAGAAAGGACAGUAUCCCAGGAAUAAGUCUCGGCUAACUACGUGCCAGCAGCCGCGGUAAAACGUAGGAGGGGAGCGUUAUCCGGAUUCACUGGGUGUAAAGCGCGUGCAGGCGGUUCGGUAAGUUGGGCGUGAAAUCUCCUGGCUCAACUAGGAGAGGUCGUCCAAUACUACCGGGCUUGAGAGCGGUAGAGGAAGAUGGAAUUCCCGGUGUAGUGGUGAAAUGCGUAGAUAUCGGGAGGAACACCAGUGGCGAAGGCGAUCUUCUGGACCGUUUCUGACGCUCAGACGCGACAGCUAGGGUAGCAAACGGG
rnacentral:rRNA from 1 species